rnacentral:rRNA from 1 species
UGCAAGUCGAACGGUAACAGGUCUUCGGAUGCUGACGAGUGGCGAACGGGUGAGUAAUACAUCGGAACGUGCCCGAUCGUGGGGGAUAACGCAGCGAAAGCUGUGCUAAUACCGCAUACGAUCUACGGAUGAAAGCGGGGGAUCGCAAGACCUCGCGCGGACGGAGCGGCCGAUGGCAGAUUAGGUAGUUGGUGGGGUAAAGGCUCACCAAGCCUUCGAUCUGUAGCUGGUCUGAGAGGACGACCAGCCACACUGGGACUGAGACACGGCCCAGACUCCUACGGGAGGCAGCAGUGGGGAAUUUUGGACAAUGGGCGCAAGCCUGAUCCAGCCAUGCCGCGUGCAGGAUGAAGGCCUUCGGGUUGUAAACUGCUUUUGUACGGAACGAAAAGGUCUUUUUUAAUAAAGAGGGCCCAUGACGGUACCGUAAGAAUAAGCACCGGCUAACUACGUGCCAGCAGCCGCGGUAAUACGUAGGGUGCAAGCGUUAAUCGGAAUUACUGGGCGUAAAGCGUGCGCAGGCGGUAAUGUAAGACUGUCGUGAAAUCCCCGGGCUCAACCUGGGAAUGGCGAUGGUGACUGCAAGGCUAGAGUUUGGCAGAGGGGGGUAGAAUUCCACGUGUAGCAGUGAAAUGCGUAGAUAUGUGGAGGAACACCGAUGGCGAAGGCAGCCCCCUGGGUCAAAACUGACGCUCAUGCACGAAAGCGUGGGGAGCAAACAGGAUUAGAUACCCUGGUAGUCCACGCCCUAAACGAUGUCUACUAGUUGUCGGGUCUUAAUUGACUUGGUAACGCAGCUAACGCGUGAAGUAGA